GGAGGGGAAGUGGCUCAGUGGUAAAGUAUCUGCUUGGUGUGCAGAAGGUCCCAGGUUCAAUUCCUGUCCUCUCCA